rnacentral:rRNA from 1 species
UAACAAGGAUUCCCCUAGUAACUGCGAGUGAAGCGGGAUGAGCUCAAAUUUAAAAUCGAGUWGCUUUGCUGCUUGAGUUGUAAUCUAGAGAAGCAUUUUCUGUGUUGGACCGUGUACAAGUCUCUUGGAAUAGAGCGUCAUAGAGGGUGAGAAUCCCGUCCAUGACACGGACUACCAAUACUUUGUGAUAUGCUCUCAAAGAGUCGAGUUGUUUGGGAAUGCAGCUCAAAAUGGGUGGUAUGUUCCAUCUAAAGCUAAAUAUUGGCGAGAGACCGAUAGCGAACAAGUACCGUGAGGGAAAGAUGAAAAGCACUUUGGAAAGAGAGUUAAACAGUACGUGAAAUUGUUGAAAGGGAAACACUUGAAGUCAGUCGCGUCUUCUGGAACUCAGCCUUGCUCUUGCUUGGUGUACUUUCUAGUUGACGGGUCAACAUCAAUUUUGGUUGGUGGAUAAAGAUUGGAGGAAUGUGGCAUCUUCGGAUGUGUUAUAGCCUUUGAUCGCAUACACUGGCUGGGAUUGAGGACUGCAGCACGCCUUUAWGGCCAGGGUUCGCCCAUGUAACGUGCUUAGGAUGUUGGCAUAAUGGCUUUAAGUGACCCGUCUUGAAACACGGACCAAGGAGUCUAACAUGCUUGCGAGUAUUAGAGUGGAAAACUCUUAUGCGUAAUGAAAGUGAAAGUUGGGACUCUUCAUUGAGGCACCGACGCCCGGCUCAGAAGUUUACUGACGGUGCCGCGGUAGAGCACGUAUGUUGGGACCCGAAAGAUGGUGAACUAUGCCUGAAUAGGGUGAAGCCAGGGGAAACUCUGGUGGAGGCUCGUAGCGAUUCUGACGUGCAAAUCGAUCGUCAAAUUUGGG